rnacentral:rRNA from 1 species
GACGUAGGGGGCCAGCGUUGCUCGGAAUUACUGGGUGUAAAGGGUUCGUAGGCGGUGUGGCAAGUCGGGAGUGAAAUCUCUGGGCUCAACUCAGGGGCUGCUUCCGAAACUGCCGUGCUAGAGUGUGGGAGAGGCGCGUGGAAUUGCAGGUGUAGCGGUGAAAUGCGUAGAUAUCGAGAGGAACACCUGAGGUGAAGACGGGUUGCUGGGCUGAUACUGACGCUGAGGCGCGAAAGCUAGGGUAGCAAACGGG